rnacentral:rRNA from 1 species
GAUGAACGCUGGCGGCGUGCUUAACACAUGCAAGUCGAACGAUGAAGCCCAGCUUGCUGGGUGGAUUAGUGGCGAACGGGUGAGUAACACGUGAGUAACCUGCCCUUGACUCUGGGAUAAGCCUGGGAAACUGGGUCUAAUACUGGAUAUGACUUCUCAUCGCAUGGUGGGGGGUGGAAAGAUUUAUUGGUCUUGGAUGGACUCGCGGCCUAUCAGCUUGUUGGUGAGGUAAUGGCUCACCAAGGCGACGACGGGUAGCCGGCCUGAGAGGGUGACCGGCCACACUGGGACUGAGACACGGCCCAGACUCCUACGGGAGGCAGCAGUGGGGAAUAUUGCACAAUGGACGCAAGCCUGAUGCAGCGACGCCGCGUGAGGGAUGACGGCCUUCGGGUUGUAAACCUCUUUCAGUAGGGAAGAAGCGAGAGUGACGGUACCUGCAGAAGAAGCGCCGGCUAACUACGUG